AUUGAACGCUGGCGGCAUGCCUUACACAUGCAAGUCGAACGGUAACAGGUCUUCGGAUGCUGACGAGUGGCGAACGGGUGAGUAAUACAUCGGAACGUGCCCGAUCGUGGGGGAUAACGAAGCGAAAGCUUUGCUAAUACCGCAUAAGAUCUACGGAUGAAAGCAGGGGACCGCAAGGCCUUGCGCGAACGGAGCGGCCGAUGGCAGAUUAGGUAGUUGGUGGGAUAAAAGCUUACCAAGCCGACGAUCUGUAGCUGGUCUGAGAGGACGACCAGCCACACUGGGACUGAGACACGGCCCAGACUCCUACGGGAGGCAGCAGUGGGGAGUUUUGGACAAUGGGCGAAAGCCUGAUCCAGCCAUGCCGCGUGCAGGAUGAAGGCCUUCGGGUUGUAAACUGCUUUUGUACGGAACGAAAAGACUCUUUCUAAUAAAGAGGGUCCAUGACGGUACCGUAAGAAUAAGCACCGGCUAACUACGUGCCAGCCGCCGCGGUAAUAC
rnacentral:rRNA from 1 species